rnacentral:rRNA from 1 species
ACGGGUGAGUAACACGUGAGUAACCUGCCCCUGACUCUGGGAUAAGCGUUGGAAACGACGUCUAAUACUGGAUAUGACUGCCGGCCGCAUGGUCUGGUGGUGGAAAGAUUUUUUGGUUGGGGAUGGACUCGCGGCCUAUCAGCUUGUUGGUGAGGUAAUGGCUCACCAAGGCGACGACGGGUAGCCGGCCUGAGAGGGUGACCGGCCACACUGGGACUGAGACACGGCCCAGACUCCUACGGGAGGCAGCAGUGGGGAAUAUUGCACAAUGGGCGAAAGCCUGAUGCAGCAACGCCGCGUGAGGGAUGACGGCCUUCGGGUUGUAAACCUCUUUUAGUAGGGAAGAAGCGUAAGUGACGGUACCUGCAGAAAAAGCACCGGCUAACUACGUGCCAGCAGCCGCGGUAAUACGUAGGGUGCAAGCGUUGUCCGGAAUUAUUGGGCGUAAAGAGCUCGUAGGCGGUUUGUCGCGUCUGCUGUGAAAUCCCGAGGCUCAACCUCGGGCUUGCAGUGGGUACGGGCAGACUAGAGUGCGGUAGGGGAGAUUGGAAUUCCUGGUGUAGCGGUGGAAUGCGCAGA